rnacentral:misc_RNA from 1 species
GUUGGCUUUUAAGGUCCUUAUACCUUUUUCAUCUUUCCCUUGAAUUUCUUUGCACUUUUUCCUCUCCUUUUGUCUGCUUGCGAUUUGUAUUCACUGUUCUUGCUAUUUGCAUCUGUUGUUCACCCCCCAACCCCACCCAAAAAAAAAAAAGAUAGAAAAUGGCCCUGGAUAUCAUUCUUGCUAUUGUUCCGACGAUUGUGGAGUGCACUUUCGUCCCCAUCAAGCGACACCUCAGUUAUGCUUUAAACUCCAGAAGCAAGGUUGAAAAGCUCAAGAAUCAGGUCAAUAACUUGACAAAUCAGAGAGACGGUUUGAAGCAGUCUGUUGAUGAAGCUACGAGGCAAGGAGAUGAGAUCUAUGAUAAUGUUCAAAAUUGGCUGACCAGUGUGGGCAAAGCUAUUGAAGAGGCUGAGGAUCUCGUCACCGGCGAAGAACAAGCAAUGCAAAGGUGUUUCUUGGGAUUGAUUCCCAAUUUGAAGAAGCGUUACAAGCUGAGCAAGGCAGUAGAGAAGAAAGCUCAAACAGUUGCUGAGCUUCGGGAGAAAGGCGAAUUUGAUCUUGAUCGAAUUUCCUACAGCCCUCCUCUUUGGCAAAUAGUGCCUCCAUCUGUCUAUAAUAAUGAAGUGUUGCAUUCAAGAAUUUCUAUCUUGGAGAAAGUUAUGAAUGCACUGAGGGAUCCUGCAUUGAACAUGAUAGGAGUGUAUGGUCUGGGUGGUGUCGGAAAAACCACUCUAGCAAAAGAAGUCCGAAGGAAAGCAAUAGAAGACAAGUUAUUCGAUGUUGUACUUAUGGGUACUGUGUCUGAAACACCGGAGCUUCGAAAAAUUCAAGGGACGAUCGCAGAUAUGCUGGGCCUAGAAUUAAAAGAGGAGACUGAAGAAGGGAGAGCAUGUAAAUUGCGUCAACGAUUACUAAAGGAGAAGAAGAUCCUCGUGAUUUUGGAUGAUAUUUGGGAACAACUCGAACCGGAGAAAGUAGGAAUUCCUUAUGGUAAUGAUCACAAAGGAUGCAAAAUAUUUCUGACCUCCAGAAGAGAAGAUAUAUUGUCUCGAGACAUGGGUACCCAAGAAAGUUUUGAGCUUCGAGUUUUAUCAGAAGCGGAGGCGUGGAGUUUAUUUGUGACAAUGGCUGGUGAUGUUACAAAUCAGGCCUUGUGCUCUAUAGCAACUGAAGUAGCCAAAAAAUGUGCAGGUUUACCUGUUUUGAUUGUUACAGUUGCAAGAGCUUUGAAGAAUAAGGAAUUGCAUGAAUGGAGGUUUGCCUUGCAGGAGCUAUCUAGGGCUGACAAUGAAGGAAUUCAGGCAAAAGUAUAUUCAGCUCUAGAGUUGAGCUACAACCAUCUGGCUAGUGAAGAACUAAAGUCAUUUUUCUUGAUUUGCGCUCAAUUUGCUCAGGGUGAUAUUCAAAUAAGAGAUUUGCUGCUGUACAGUAUGGGUUUGGAUUUGCUUAGAAGCAAAGGUACAGUGGAGGAUGCAAGAUACAGAGUGUAUAAAUUGAUAAGUGACCUCAAAGCUUCUUGCUUGCUACUAGAUGGUGACAGGAAUGGGUUUGUGAAAAUGCAUGACGUUGUUAGAGAUGUUGCUCUUUUUAUGGCAUCUAAAUCUCAAAACCUAUUCACAUUCAGAGAUAUAGUUGAACCGAAGAAAUGGCCAAACAGGGAUCUCAGAAACUGCUCCAGAAUUUCUUUACCUUACUGUGAAAUCCAUGAGCUUCCUGAACGAUUAGAGUACCCAGAAUUAGAGUUACUAGUCGUUGGCACUGAAGAUAUUCAUUCAAAAGACCGCCCUGAUUUGAAAGCUGCAGUGUAUACAAUUGACAAAAAAUCAUUUUGAGAAUUGGCUUUGGGAGGGCAACCUCAAUGCCACCAUACAACAGUUGUCUAUGGAAAUGGAUGGAUUUAAUAGCAUUCAGAACUUGAAACUUUCUAAAUAUCCCCAGCUAAAGGAAAAAUGGCAUACCCAACUUCCUUUGAAGUUCUUAGGCAGUUUAUGGACACUGGUGAUGGACAAUUGUGAGUUGUUCUCAAAAGCCUUAUCCUCGAAUCAACUGCAGUGCUUGAACUAUUUGGAGGUGCUGAUUAUAGAAAAAUGUGUGUCACACUAGAAGAAAAUAUUUGAUUUGGAAGGGAUGAAUGCAGAUGAAGGGCAUGCUGGGUUGAUGCCGCUGUUAGAGAAAUUGCAUUUAAUUGAUCUACCACAGUUGAGGUGUAUAUGGAACAAGGAUCCUAAAGGAAUUGUGGGUUUUAAAUACCUAAAAUGGCUGAAGGUUUAUAAUUGUAGCAGCUUGAGUAAUAUAUUUACUCUUCCCAUGGAUUUGGAGCUUGU